AAAUAGAUUUUGUUGAAUCUCUGUGUUUAUCACGUGCCGGGGUCACAUAUUCUGCUGGAAUGUUUUAAUGGAAAGUUUUAAACUGCAUCCUGUUGAAUUCAGCUAAA